rnacentral:rRNA from 1 species
CAUGCAAGUCGAGCGGAUGAGAGGAGCUUGCUCCUGGAUUCAGCGGCGGACGGGUGAGUAAUGCCUAGGAAUCUGCCUGGUAGUGGGGGACAACGUUUCGAAAGGAACGCUAAUACCGCAUACGUCCUACGGGAGAAAGCAGGGGACCUUCGGGCCUUGCGCUAUCAGAUGAGCCUAGGUCGGAUUAGCUAGUUGGUGAGGUAAUGGCUCACCAAGGCGACGAUCCGUAACUGGUCUGAGAGGAUGAUCAGUCACACUGGAACUGAGACACGGUCCAGACUCCUACGGGAGGCAGCAGUGGGGAAUAUUGGACAAUGGGCGAAAGCCUGAUCCAGCCAUGCCGCGUGUGUGAAGAAGGUCUUCGGAUUGUAAAGCACUUUAAGUUGGGAGGAAGGGUUGUAGAUUAAUACUCUGCAAUUUUGACGUUACCGACAGAAUAAGCACCGGCUAACUCUGUGCCAGCAGCCGCGGUAAUACAGAGGGUGCAAGCGUUAAUCGGAAUUACUGGGCGUAAAGCGCGCGUAGGUGGUUUGUUAAGUUGGAUGUGAAAUCCCCGGGCUCAACCUGGGAACUGCAUCCAAAACUGGCAAGCUAGAGUAUGGUAGAGGGUGGUGGAAUUUCCUGUGUAGCGGUGAAAUGCGUAGAUAUAGGAAGGAACACCAGUGGCGAAGGCGACCACCUGGACUGAUACUGACACUGAGGUGCGAAGCGUGGGGAGCAAACAGGAUUAGAUACCCUGGUAGUCCACGCCGUAAACGAUGUCAACUAGCCGUUGGGAGCCUUGAGCUCUUAGUGGCGCAGCUAACGCAUUAAGUUGACCGCCUGGGGAGUACGGCCGCAAGGUUAAAACUCAAAUGAAUUGACGGGGGCCCGCACA